rnacentral:rRNA from 1 species
AACGCACAUUGCGCCCCUUGGUAUUCCGGGGGGCAUGCCUGUUCGAGCGUCAUUU